rnacentral:rRNA from 1 species
GAUGAACGCUGGCGGCGUGCCUAAUACAUGCAAGUCGAGCGAACAGACGAGGAGCUUGCUCCUCUGACGUUAGCGGCGGACGGGUGAGUAACACGUGGAUAACCUACCUAUAAGACUGGGAUAACUUCGGGAAACCGGAGCUGAUACCGGAUAAUAUAUUGAACCGCAUGGUUCAAUAGUGAAAGACGGUUUUGCUGUCACUUAUAGAUGGAUCCGCGCUGCAUUAGCUAGUUGGUAAGGUAACGGCUUACCAAGGCAACGAUGCGUAGCCGACCUGAGAGGGUGAUCGGCCACACUGGAACUGAGACACGGUCCAGACUCCUACGGGAGGCAGCAGUAGGGAAUCUUCCGCAAUGGGCGAAAGCCUGACGGAGCAACGCCGCGUGAGUGAUGAAGGUCUUCGGAUCGUAAAACUCUGUUAUUAGGGAAGAACAAAUGUGUAAGUAACUAUGCACGUCUUGACGGUACCUAAUCAGAAAGCCACGGCUAACUACGUG